rnacentral:rRNA from 1 species
AUUGAACGCUGGCGGCAUGCCUUACACAUGCAAGUCGAACGGUAACGCGGGGGCAACCCUGGCGACGAGUGGCGAACGGGUGAGUAAUACAUCGGAACGUGUCCUGUUGUGGGGGAUAACCCAUCGAAAGGUGAGCUAAUACCGCAUGAUCUGGAGACAGCAAAGCAGGGGACCGGAAACGGCCUUGCGCGAUUGGAGCGGCCGAUGUCCGAUUAGCUAGUUGGCGGGGUAAAGGCCCACCAAGGCAACGAUCGGUAGCUGGUCUGAGAGGAUGAUCAGCCACACUGGGACUGAGAUACGGCCCAGACUCCUACGGGAGGCA